GUUGAGAUUCUCUUAUAGUUCUAAACUAGUUAAGAGAUCCGCGCGAUGCUGUGGAUAAUUAUUUUAAAAUUUAAUUUUAAAAAUUAGUUAUAAAAAGCAAUUUCAGAAUUUAAAUAGUGCAAUAAUUAUAUCAAAAAAUUUUAGUAGGCAUAGUAGUCCUCCAUUAAUUAGUGAAAUAAUUUUAGUACGUAUCGUAUUCCCCCAAUAGUUAGUGAAUGAGAAGAGAAAUUAUUGUUUGUGAUUCUCGCAAUUAAUUGUCGUCAAAUAUAAAAUUAACUAAAGUUGUAUCAAUUUUUUUAUUUUUUAAUGUACAAUUUAUAUGUGAAUGCUCAAUAUUAUAAAAUUAAUAUUUAUAUCUAAUACUAGUAGUCUAAAUUAUUUAAUAUUUAUUUAUAUAUUUUAUAUUUUAUAAAAAUAAGGAGUAAAUUAGAUAAUAAAU
rnacentral:lncRNA from 1 species